AACGAACGCUGGCGGCAGGCUUAACACAUGCAAGUCGAACGCCCCGCAAGGGGAGUGGCAGACGGGUGAGUAACGCGUGGGAAUCUACCCAGAUCUACGGAACAACAGUUGGAAACGACUGCUAAUACCGUAUACGCCCUACGGGGGAAAGAUUUAUCGGAUUUGGAUGAGCCCGCGUAAGAUUAGCUAGUUGGUGAGGUAAUGGCUCACCAAGGCGACGAUCUUUAGCUGGUCUGAGAGGAUGAUCAGCCACACUGGGACUGAGACACGGCCCAGACUCCUACGGGAGGCAGCAGUGGGGAAUAUUGGACAAUGGGCGCAAGCCUGAUCCAGCCAUGCCGCGUGAGUGAUGAAGGCCUUAGGGUUGUAAAGCUCUUUCAGUGGGGAAGAUAAUGACGGUACCCACAGAAGAAGCCCCGGCUAACUUCGUGCCAGCAGCCGCAGUAACAC
rnacentral:rRNA from 1 species